rnacentral:rRNA from 1 species
UACGGAGGAUCCGAGCGUUAUCCGGAUUUAUUGGGUUUAAAGGGUGCGCAGGCGGCCUGUUAAGUCAGGGGUGAAAGACGGUAGCUCAACUAUCGCAGUGCCCUUGAUACUGAUGGGCUUGAAUGUACUAGAGGUAGGCGGAAUGUGACAAGUAGCGGUGAAAUGCAUAGAUAUGUCACAGAACACCAAUUGCGAAGGCAGCUUACUAUGGUAUUAUUGACGCUGAGGCACGAAAGCGUGGGGAUCAAACAGG